rnacentral:misc_RNA from 1 species
AAGUCGUAACAAGGUUUCCGUAGGUGAACCUGCGGAAGGAUCAUUAUCUAUAACCGGGUGUGGCUGCGGCCUCCGGGGGCGUGGGCGUCGAAACGAUGCCCUCUCUUCCGGGCGGUAGAGGUAAAACUCUCACGCGCCACAUGUCUGAAUCCUUUUUUUACGAGCACCUUUCGUUCUCCUUCGGUGGGGUGACCUGCCGUUGGAACCCAUCAAAACUCUUUUUGCAUCUAGCAUUACCUGUUCUGAUACAAACAAUCGUUACAACUUUCAACAAUGGAUCUCUUGGCUCUG